ACCUCGAUUGGUCAAACAUGGUCAAAUGGUCAAGUGUGGUCAACCCUUGGUCAACUCCUGGUCAAACCAGGAAAAGUUGGGGUUGGACGAUAUAUUAAUCGUCGAGAUUUCGUUUAACUGUUCAAAAGUUAUUAACUAUCGAAAUGCCGGAAUCUAGGACUCCAGUUACCCGAGGAACAGAAGGUUCGCAACUCUCGGAGUACGUGAGAGAACGCAUCGGAAUCCAGGUAGGGAUUCAGGACUCUCCUCGGUUGGUGAUUUUCUUUUAUAUUUUAUUAAUGUGAUGCAUGAUAAGUGGUAUGGGUUGGUUAUGUAAAAUGCAAUGCAUACUAACCAAUCCGUGAGAAAAUGUGUGAUGGCUUGAGAGCGAAGGGUGGCUCUGACUUCCUUGGGUUCGAUCCCCUUAACCUCCGGAGGGUUAGUUACGCCGGUCGUCCGGGUAUUCCGAUUGUAAUGACGGGCCCGGUACGUGUGUGUAGCUAGGUAGUGGACGCUCUCGCUACGCUUACCUGGUGAUAAAUUAAUUUGAGGUAAGGUCGUGUAGUGGGUCUAUGGGACCGGCCAUCAGUAUGGAUGCAGGUACUGUGCACUGGUGACGGGACAAUGGCGGACGGAGCUGGGUGUGCGGAACAAGUUUGGUAAACCGCCUUCUGGGCUUUAUACUGCUUUCUAUUUCUCGAACUUUGUGUCCCGGAAUUCUUGGGUCAAACGUGGUUAAAUUCCUAGUCCUUAAAUCUUGUGCCUCCUGAGUGAGCAUUCAUUUCAAGUCUGGACGAACAAAAUGAUUUUUGGGCAACUCAAAGAUUUUCACCUCAAAAAUAUUUGUAGCUUUCGCUGUGUUUUACGAAAAGUUUUCAAACAAAAUGCCUAGCGGUUCUCUAGAAUUUAAAUCGAGCGUUUGGUUUAUGUUUUAGAGGCUCGCGGCACUGUGACGUGCUUAAGCUGGUGAGGUGCAGCUUGGGGCGUUACAGAAAGUGGUAUCAGAGCAAUGCUUCUGAGUUUUCGAUUUCAACGAUUUAAAAACCUCUGA